UCUGCACCGUGCGCCUUGCACUGACGUGCACCAUCACUGCCCUUUGCACGCUCACCUUGACCGACUCACUUCUGUGCACACUCGCCUCACAUCAUCACUCCCUUGCACACUCAUUUAUCACCAGCAGGCGGCAUUUUUUCACGCUCACCCCUCGCACACUCAACUCGUACCACAGCCACCCUUUACACACUCCCUUCUGACUGGCAGCACCAUUUGCACACUCACUUCCCACUCUCAGCGCGGCCCUUUGCACACUCACCCCCUCGCACACUCCUCAACAGCGCCUUUUGCACUCAUUUCUCACCACCAUCCCCUUUGCACACUCACUCUCCACCAUCAGACACUUUUGCACACUUGACUUCUUCCACACUCACUGUUCUCUACCAUCCCCCUAUGCACACUCACCCGCUUGCACACUCAUUUUCACUAGAUGAAAGCUUGGCCCCUUGCACACUCAAUUGUAAUCACCUCUCCCCUUUGCACACUCACUCCUCACCAUCAGAUCCAUUUUCACUCUCACCAUCUUGCACACUCACUCCCCACAACAGAGCCGUUUACACGCUCACUUCUUUGCACACUCACUUUGCACCACCACCUCCCUUUCCACACUCACUCCCUGCCCUCAGAUCAAUUUACACACUUAUCCCCUUGCACACUCAAUCCCCACCAUCAGAACCCUUUGCAACCUGAUUUCCUUGCACACUCACUUUGCACCAUCACCUCCCUCUGCACACUCACUUCCUCGCCUUCAGAGCCCUUUGCACACUUUCUCAUGACCAUUAGAUCCAUUUGCAUCCUUACUCCAUUGCACACUCACUUCUCACCACCACCUCCCUCUGCACACACACUCCCACACACUCACCCCCCACCUUCAGGGCCAUUUGCACACUCAUCACCUCGCACACUCCUUCCUCACACUAAGAGCCCUUUGCACACUCGCACAGUGACCCCCUUGCACACUCACUUCUCCCCACCACCUCACUCUGCACGCAACCUCUUGCACACUCACUCCCUAUCUCCAGAGCCGCUUGCACCCUCGCCUCCUUACACACUCACUCACAACAUUCAGAGCCCUUUACACACUCACUCGCGACCAUCAGGUCCGUUUGCACGCUUACCCCUUGCACACUCACUUCUCCCCACCACCUCACUCUGCACGCAACCUCUUGCACACUCACUCCCUAUCUCCAGAGCCGCUUGCACCCUCGCCUCCUUACACACUCACUCACAACAUUCAGAGCCCUUUGCACACUCACUCAUGAUCAGAUCCACGUGCACGCUUACUCCCUCACACACUCACUUCACCCCACCACCUCACUCUGCGCACACCCUCUCGCACGCUCACCUCUCGCAACCGACCUUUGCACACUCACCCCCCCCCACUCGCACGCUCCCCUCCUCACCAUCGGAGCCCUU
rnacentral:lncRNA from 1 species